rnacentral:rRNA from 1 species
GACGAACGCUGGCGGCGUGCUUAACACAUGCAAGUCGAACGGAAAGGCCCUGCUUUUGUGGGGUGCUCGAGUGGCGAACGGGUGAGUAACACGUGAGUAACCUGCCCUUGACUUUGGGAUAACUUCAGGAAACUGGGGCUAAUACCGGAUAGGAGCUCCUGCUGCAUGGUGGGGGUUGGAAAGUUUCGGCGGUGGGGGAUGGACUCGCGGCUUAUCAGCUUGUUGGUGGGGUAGUGGCUUACCAAGGCUUUGACGGGUAGCCGGCCUGAGAGGGUGACCGGCCACAUUGGGACUGCGAUACGGCCCAGACUCCUACGGGAGGCAGCAGUGGGGAAUCUUGCACAAUGGGCGGAAGCCUGAUGCAGCAACGCCGCGUGCGGGAUGACGGCCUUCGGGUUGUAAACCGCUUUCGCCUGUGACGAAGCGUGAGUGACGGUAAUGGGUAAAGAAGCACCGGCUAACUACGUG